AUCUGAAUGUCCUGAUCACACAGCCCCGCGCUGCUCAAUGACUCAAGGCAAAAAACUCCAGCCCUUUCCAACUCCUAUUCAAUACACACAGGCUAGGCAGCAGGAGACCUGGAUGUAUCGCUAUGUUCACCAGAUGAGGCUGCCGUUCGGAUCAGUCCUGGAUGGUAGACCGAUGACCUAAUUGUGGAAACUCUUGUCGAGAGGUUUAUUGAUCUGACAGGAUGAAGGACUUGAUUUAACAUCAGCAAAGGCCUAGGACACUGAGAAGGCUUGUGGUAUUCCCACAAAGAUCCUAGCUAAAGGCCUGUGCACUCAGCAGUGACGAGCAAUUAAACCUGGAUCUAUCCUAAUCUCGGCCCGGACAAUUACAAAGGCCAACCUCCCAUCUAUAGAAUCCAUCUAUCAGGACUGUUGUCAAGGAAAGGCCCCUAGCAUUCUCAAAGAUCCAUCCCACCCUGGCAAUGCUUUUCUACAACCUCUACCAUCGGGGAGAAGAUACAGAAGCCUGAACACAAACACCAGCCGAUUUUGUAACAGUUUCUAUUUUGCUGUUUUUAGAGUAAUGAUUAGACUCACAAUCUCUUAACAUUUACCUGAAUCUGCACUUUUGCUUUUGUCACUGUUUACCUAUUAUUUACUUAUCUAUGUUACUUAACUAUGUGAUCUGCCUAUAUUGCUCGCAAGACAAAACUUUUCACUGUGCCUCGGUAUCCGUGACAAUAAAUUCAAUUAAAAUCUCUCAUAUAUGUUUACUGGCUAUAUUCAGGACAGGGGAGUGCAUCCGAGGAGCAGGAAAAUUGAUGUUUCGGGCAAAAGCCCUUCAUCAGGAUAUUCAGAACAUCCCAGUAUUACAAUGUGCACCUCAAACAAGCAUUAACAUAUGCAAA